rnacentral:rRNA from 1 species
GACGAACGCUGGCGGCGUGCUUAACACAUGCAAGUCGAACGGUAAGGCCCUUCGGGGUACACGAGUGGCGAACGGGUGAGUAACACGUGGGUGAUCUGCCCUGCACUUCGGGAUAAGCCUGGGAAACUGGGUCUAAUACCGGAUAGGACUCCGGACUGCAUGGUCUGGGGUGGAAAGCUUUUGCGGUGUGGGAUGGGCCCGCGGCCUAUCAGCUUGUUGGUGGGGUGAUGGCCUACCAAGGCGACGACGGGUAGCCGGCCUGAGAGGGUGGCCGGCCACACUGGGACUGGGAUACGGCCCAGACUCCUACGGGAGGCAGCAGUGGGAAUAUUGCACAAUGGGCGCAAGCCUGAUGCAGCGACGCCGCGUGAGGGAUGACGGCCUUCGGGUUGUAAACCUCUUUCAGCAUCGACGAAGCGAAAGUGACGGUAGGUGCAGAAGAAGGACCGGCCAACUACGUGCCAGCCGCCGCCGUAA